GGUAUUUGAGAAGAGGUUGUCUGUGAUGAGUUCGCUUUAUUAAUGACGAAUAUAACACAGAUGGCCUGUUUUCAGUACC
rnacentral:pre_miRNA from 1 species